rnacentral:rRNA from 1 species
UACGAAGGGGGCUAGCGUUGCUCGGAAUUACUGGGCGUAAAGCGUGCGCAGGCGGCUUUGCAAGACAGAUGUGAAAUCCCCGGGCUUAACCUGGGAACUGCAUUUGUGACUGCAUCGCUGGAGUGCGGCAGAGGGGGAUGGAAUUCCGCGUGUAGCAGUGAAAUGCGUAGAUAUGCGGAGGAACACCGAUGGCGAAGGCAAUCCCCUGGGCCUGCACUGACGCUCAUGCACGAAAGCGUGGGGAGCAAACAGG